rnacentral:rRNA from 1 species
AAAAGCGUCGGUAAGGUGAUAUGAACCGUUAGAACCGACGAUGUCCGAAUGGGGAAACCCAGUGCAAUUCGUUGCACUAUCGUUAACUGAAUACAUAGGUUAACGAGGCGAACCGGGGGAACUGAAACAUCUAAGUACCCCGAGGAAAAGAAAUCAACCGAGAUUCCCCCAGUAGCGGCGAGCGAACGGGGAGCAGCCCAGAGUCUGAAUCAGCUUGUGUGUUAGUGGAACGGUCUGGAAAGUCCGACGGUACAGGGUGAUAGUCCCGUACACCAAAAUGCACAGGCUGUGAACUCGAAGAGUAGUGCGUGACACGUGGUAUCCUGUCUGAAUAUGGGGGGACCAUCCGCCAAGGCUAAAUACUCCUGACUGACCGAUAGUGAACCAGUCCCGUGAGGGAAAGGCGAAAAGAACUCCGGCGAGGGGAGUGAAAAAGAACCUGAAACCGUGUACGUACAAGCAGUGG